CACGUAGGCGGGCUGUCAAGUCGGCCGUGAAAGGCACGGGCUCAACCUGUGCAUGUCGGUCGAUACUGGCGGUCUGGAGUAUGGGAGAGGGAACUGGAAUUCCCGGUGUAGCGGUGAAAUGCGUAGAUAUCGGGAGGAACGCCAGUGGCGAAGGCGGGUUCCUGGCCCAUGACUGACGCUGAGGUGCGAAAGCCGGGGGAGCGAACGG
rnacentral:rRNA from 1 species